rnacentral:miRNA from 1 species
AAGGGGGUGCUUGAGAGGUUUGG